GAUGAACGCUGACAGAAUGCUUAACACAUGCAAGUCUUUGGCGAAGCUGUGCUUGCACCGCCUAGCCAAGGCGGACGGGUGAGUAACGCGUCAGGAACUUGCCCUGCAGUCAGGGAUAACAGACGGAAACGACUGAUAAGACCUGGUAAAGUCAGGCGGACUCAUGUCCAGCCUGAUGAAAAGAGAUGCUGCAGGAGAGCCUUGCGUCCUAUUAGCUUGUUGGUGGGGUAACGGCCCACCAAGGCGAUGAUAGGUAGCCGGCCUGAGAGGGUGGACGGCCACAAGGGGACUGAGAUACGGCCCUUACGCCUACGGGAGGCAGCAGUGGGGAAUAUUGGACAAUGGGGGCAACCCUGAUCCAGCAAUUCUGUGUGCACGAUGAAGGUUUUCGGAUUGUAAAGUGCUUUCAGCAGGGAAGAAAAAAAUGACGGUACCUGCAGAAGAAGCGACGGCUAAAUACGUG
rnacentral:rRNA from 1 species